GCGAACGGGUGAGUAACACGUGGGUUACCUACCCCUGAUGACCGGGACAACCCGAGGAAACUCGGGCUAAUACCUGGAUGUGGUCUUCGGACGAAAGGAAGCUUCGGCCUCCGCAUCGGGAUGGGCCCGCGGCGCAUUAGCUUGUUGGUGGGGUAACGGCCUACCAAGGCGACGAUGCGUAGCUGGUCUGAGAGGACGAUCAGCCACACUGGGACUGAGACACGGCCCAGACUCCAUACGGGAGGCAGCAGUGGGGAAUUUUGGACAAUGGGGGCAACCCUGAUCCAGCAAUGCCGCGUGAGUGAAGAAGGCCUUCGGGUCGUAAAGCUCUUUGUCCGGGAAGAAAUCCUCUUGGUUAAUACCUGGGAGGGAUGACGGUACUGGAAGAAUAAGCACCGGCUAACUACGUGCCAGCCGCCGCGG
rnacentral:rRNA from 1 species